GAUGAAAAACGUAGCGAAAUGCGAUAAGUAAUGCGAAUUGCAGAAUUCCAGUGAGUCAUCGAAUCUUUGAACGCACAUUGCGCCCUUUGGUAUUCCGAAGGGCAUGCCUGUUCGAGCGUCAUUAUCACCCCUCAAGUCCCCUGGCUUGGUGUUGGACGGCCUCGUUGGACCCCCGGUACACUGAGUUCUUCACGGGACACGUACUGGAUCAAGGGUGCGCGGAGCACGGUCUCACCUCCCCUCGCGGGAGAACUUUUUUACAAGGUUGACCUCGGAUCAGGUAGGGAUACCCGCUGAACUUAAGCAUAUCAAUAAGCGGAGGA
rnacentral:misc_RNA from 1 species